rnacentral:ncRNA from 1 species
GCGUAACGCGUAUGGCUAUACGGCAGUCCCAAAACUGCCAAAGGUUACGGCAAGCCCAAAGAAUUGCAAGUCCGUUUUGCAAACAGAGAAUUUGCAUCACACAAGGCAUCGUGUGCUUGCUCGAUCAUAAAGAACCUUGGUCGGUUUCUCUGUUGCAAGCUUGUUCUGGUAAAAAACUUUGGGAUAAAGCUAUCUACUAACGGACAGUAGAUAGCUUUUU